rnacentral:ncRNA from 2 species
AUUACAUAAAAUGAGACAGGUGCCCUAGAGGCUUAAUAGGGAAGCCGGUGAAAAACCGGUGCGGUCCCGCCACUGUAAUGGGGAGCAAACCCAAGGAAUACCACUGAGACUCCGUCUUGGGAAGGUUUGGGCGAGUGAUGAGCCAGAGCCAGGAGAACUGCCUGUUUGACAGUCACCGU